GGUAGUUGUUGUUAGAAAGUCGUUGCGUAGGAAAUACUAACUUAGGUGGGCGGACGGGUGAGUAACACGUGAGUAACCUGCCUUUCAGAGUGGAAUAACGUUUGGAAACGAACGCUAAUACCGCAUAACAUGAGAGAACGGCAUCGUUCUUUCAUCAAAGAUUUUAUCGCUGAGAGAUGGGCUCGCGGCCGAUUAGGUAGUUGGUGAGAUAACAGCCCACCAAGCCGACGAUCGGUAGCCGGACUGAGAGGUUGAACGGCCACAUUGGGACUGAGACACGGCCCAGACUCCUACGGGAGGCAGCAGUGGGGGAUAUUGCACAAUGGAGGAAACUCUGAUGCAGCGACGCCGCGUGAGGGAAGACGGUCUUCGGAUUGUAAACCUCUGUCUUUAGGGACGAAAAAAUGACGGUACCUAAGGAGGAAGCCACGGCUAACUACGUGCC
rnacentral:rRNA from 1 species